AGGACGAACGCUGGCGGCGUGCUUAACACAUGCAAGUCGAGCGGAAAGGCCCUUCGGGGUACUCGAGCGGCGAACGGGUGAGUAACACGUGAGCAACCUGCCCCUGGCUCUGGGAUAGCCUCCGGAAACGGGGAUUAAUACCGGACAUGACCUGCUGCCGCAUGGUGGCGGGUGGAAAGUUUUCGGCCAGGGUGGGGCUCGCGGCCUAUCAGCUUGUUGGGGGGGUGACGGCUCACCAAGGCGACGACGGGUA
rnacentral:rRNA from 1 species